GGUGCCAUAGUGGAACUGGUCUAACACGCCAGCCUCUCAAGCUGGAGAUUCGGGGUUCAAGUCCCCGUGGCAUCACCA
rnacentral:tRNA from 1 species